GCGGGUUCUGGGGUUGUUUCAGCGAUUAUUACCUUUAAGAAUAGUCUGUCUUCACAGUGAUCGUUCUUUACAUUUCUCCACACACAGAGUAAGAAGAAAGCCCGACAUUCAUUCACUUUGUGAGCAGUGUUCAGUGAAGAAAAGAUCGGUUUCUCAUCCUGAGGAAAGCGGAGGCUGCAGAUGCUGAUGUCGACAGAACUGGACAUCUACAAGGGAGACGACUGCCAACCAUGACUAGUCCAGCGUCAGGACAGACAUCAUUGUCAUCACAAGCUCAGGAAUUCUGGAUACAAUGGGUUGAGGACGCCUUCCUGACCUCGACUCUCGCGCCUACUUCCUGCCUCCUGUCUACUUCAACCGCGUGCCAUGACUAGACGGUCCAUUUUUGGCCACCAUGUGCUUGUCCCUCAGACACCACCUGGGGAGGAUGGCCAAGCCUGUCCCAAGCCUGCUAAAGUUCAGGAGAGUGACAUUAGAGACGAUACAGCCAUGCAGCGGGUUCUCUUCUGUCUUCAGAGGUUGUCAGAGAAAACAAAGGAAGUUUUUGUUGGAAUCAGUCAGCUUCAGUUCGGACAGUACCUGAGGGAACCUUGUUACGCUGCCGCUGCUAAAUACCUACCCCGAUCCGACAACCUUUCUCCUGAUCGGCCACGGAAUCGGAAAGAGGGAGACUUUGAUGUUCUUCUUAUUCACCGACAUUACGGGUUGGUCAUCUGUGAGGUGAAAGCUUUUGGUGACAACGUGAACGAAAUUAACAUGUCACAGCAGGACAUAGACAAAAACAUUAGGAAGAAACUAAAAGACGCCAUGACACAGCUGGACAAGGCGGAGGCCAUGUUGUCUCACCUGGUGUCCGACAUCGCUCCUGGUCUGAGAAUCUCUAAGACGAUCGCCGUCCCUAACCUCACGAGGCACCAGGUACAACAGGCUGUCUCUGAAGACUUAGAACUGACACAGGCCCUGUGUCAGUGUCUGGGAACAAAAGAACCUGCGGACAUCACUGGUCUGUGUCUCUGCUCUGAUCAGAUGUCUGACCGCAGGAUACCAGGUGAUGUCAGUAGCGAUGUUCUAAGGGAGAUGGAGAACUGGUGGCAGCGACGUGUGACUGAGGCUGGACCUGAUAGUCACAUGACCUGUCACGUGUACAAGACAUUAGUAGCACGGUUCUGUGGUCCGGCGACAACAGUGACUGUCCCAUGCACAUGUCCUCCACGUGUGAGUGUCAAGACCCUGGGUCAGGCCGUGUCGUGGACAGGAGAGGUCUACACCGCGCAAAUAACAUUAUUCCCAGAACAAGUCGACCUGCUGAACAGGGCGCCUCUCAGACUCUUUGUGGCCGGUCCACCUGGCACAGGUAAGACUGUGGUGCUGCUGCUGAUGGGCAUAAGAAUGGCUGAGAUGUGGCCACGAUGUCUACAUUGUGAGCACCUGUUGGGAGAGUCGUGCAGCGUGCAUCAUGCUGCACCACGUGCUGCGGCAAAGGUUGGAGGAGCCGCUGACUGGAGCAGCACCUGGUCAGCUUCACCUCCUGCAGUCUGAUCAAACACGGGAUGAAGAGGUGGAGAAGGGUCGUCAAUGACUUGUCGCAUGCGGCGAGGGGAGAGUCGUUGUACGUCCUCGCUGAUGAAGUGGGAGGCAAGUUCCAAACUUUCUGUGGCCAGCUGCUGACACAAGUUCCACAUCUCCAUCUUUGGGCGGCAAAUUGUUUCCAUGGAUACGCAUCUGCCGGCUGGGAAGUGGAAUAUUUAGCCAGGCCCCUCCGCUCUCCACCCGCCGUCGUCAGGGAAGUGGAGCAGGACGACUUCAUCAAUGACCGUCGUGUCCACGCGUACAGUGAGCGAGGUGUGCCCGACCACACAGACGGCCCGCCAGUCAGACAGGUGUGUCACCGAGGUCAGGGUCACUCGGGUGACUGGCCAGCUGACUGUGUCACGUGCGGUCGUGAGGUGGCCAGCUUCCUACACAGUCUCCGUGAUAGUGUCCCGGGUAGGUGUAGGUAUUGUGUAGUCUACGUCUGAACCCAAAAUAUGAGUGUGAUUCUGUAUUAUAUAAACUAUAUGUCAUCAUCAUCAUCA
rnacentral:misc_RNA from 1 species